rnacentral:rRNA from 1 species
CACCGGCUAACUCCGUGCCAGCAGCCGCGGUAAUACGGAGGGUGCGAGCGUUAAUCGGAAUUACUGGGCGUAAAGCGCAUGCAGGUGGUUUGUUAAGUCAGAUGUGAAAGCCCGGGGCUCAACCUCGGAAUUGCAUUUGAAACUGGCAGACUAGAGUACUGUAGAGGGGGGUAGAAUUUCAGGUGUAGCGGUGAAAUGCGUAGAGAUCUGAAGGAAUACCGGUGGCGAAGGCGGCCCCCUGGACAGAUACUGACACUCAGAUGCGAAAGCGUGGGGAGCAAACAGGAUUAGAUACCCUGGUAGUCCACGCCGUAAACGAUGUCUACUUGGAGGUUGUGGCCUUGAGCCGUGGCUUUCGGAGCUAACGCGUUAAGUAGACCGCCUGGGGAGUACGGUCGCAAGAUUAAAACUCAAAUGAAUUGACGGGGGCCCGCACAAGCGGUGGAGCAUGUGGUUUAAUUCGAUGCAACGCGAAGAACCUUACCUACUCUUGACAUCCAGAGAACUUUCCAGAGAUGGAUUGGUGCCUUCGGGAACUUUGAGACAGGUGCUGCAUGGCUGUCGUCAGCUCGUGUUGUGAAAUGUUGGGUUAAGUCCCGCAACGAGCGCAACCCUUAUCCUUGUUUGCCAGCGAGUAAUGUCGGGAACUCCAGGGAGACUGCCGGUGAUAAACCGGAGGAAGGUGGGGACGACGUCAAGU